UACGGAGGGGGCGAGCGUUAUUCGGAAUUAUUGGGCGUAAAGGGCGCGUAGGCGGCCUUGUAAGUCAAAGGUGAAAUCCCUCGGCUCAACUGAGGAACUGCCUUUGAAACUGCAAGGCUUGAGGCCGGGAGGGGGUAGCGGAAUUCCCAAUGUAGCGGUGAAAUGCAUAGAUAUUGGGAGGAACACCAGUGGCGAAGGCGGCUACCUGGACCGGUUCUGACGCUGAGGCGCGAAAGCGUG
rnacentral:rRNA from 1 species